GCAUAUCAAUAAGCGGAGGAAAAGAAACCAACAGGGAUUGCCCUAGUAACGGCGAGUGAAGCGGCAACAGCUCAAAUUUGAAAUCUGGCGUCUUUGGCGUCCGAGUUGUAAUUUGCAGAGGGCGCUUUGGCAUUGGCAGCGGUCCAAGUUCCUUGGAACAGGACGUCACAGAGGGUGAGAAUCCCGUACGUGGUCGCUAGCCUUUACCGUGUAAAGCCCCUUCGACGAGUCGAGUUGUUUGGGAAUGCAGCUCUAAAUGGGAGGUAAAUUUCUUCUAAAGCUAAAUACUGGCCAGAGACCGAUAGCGCACAAGUAGAGUGAUCGAAAGAUGAAAAGCACUUUGGAAAGAGAGUUAAAAAGCACGUGAAAUUGUUGAAAGGGAAGCGCUUGCAGCCAGACUUGCCUGUAGUUGCUCAUCCGGGUUUUUACCCGGUGCACUCUUCUACGGGCAGGCCAGCAUCAGUUUGGGCGGUUGGAUAAAGGUCUCUGUCAUGUACCUCCUCUCGGGGAGAUCUUAUAGGGGAGACGACAUGCAACCAGCCUGGACUGAGGUCCGCGCAUCUGCUAGGAUGCUGGCGUAAUGGCUGUAAGCGGCCCGUCUUGAAACACGGACCAAGGAGUCUAACAUCUAUGCGAGUGUUUGGGUGUCAAGCCCGAACGCGUAAUGAAAGUGAACGGAGGUGGGAACCUUUCGGGGUGCACCAUCGACCGAUCCUGAUGUCUUCGGAUGGAUUUGAGUAAGAGCAUAGCUGUUGGGACCCGAAAGAUGGUGAACUAUGCUUGAAUAGGGUGAAGCCAGAGGAAACUCUGGUGGAGGCUCGCAGCGGUUUCUGACGUGCAAAUCGAUCGUCAAAUUUGGGCAUAGGGGCGAAAGACUAAUCCAACUAUCUAGUAGCUGGUUCCUGCCGA
rnacentral:rRNA from 1 species